rnacentral:rRNA from 1 species
GAUGAACGCUGGCGGCGUGCCUAAAACAUGCAAGUCGAGCGGUAAGGCCCUUUCGGGGGUACACGAGCGGCGGACGGCUGAGUAACACGUAGGAACGUACCCCAAACUGAGGGAUAAGCACCAGAAAUGGUGUCUAAUACCGCAUGUGCUCUCUAGAGUAAAGCUACGGCGGUUUGGGAACGGCCUGCGCAUGAUUAGCUUGUUGGUGAGGUAAUGGCUCACCAAGGCGACGAUCAUUAGCUGGUCUGAGAGGAUGACCAGCCAGACUGGGACUGAG